rnacentral:sRNA from 5 species
CCAAGGUUCGAUUCGAGCGCAGCGAGAAAGCGUUGCCGCAGGCAACGACCCGAAGGGCGAAGCGCGCAGCGCUGAGUCAUCCUUCCCCCACCACCA